GAGAGUUUGAGAAAAUAUUCCGAUGAUCAAAUGACAAAUGUUCUUCUGGAUUAUCUAAUUACACAAGUAAUGCUAAUAAGAAAAUUGUUCGAUAACGAGAUGAAAGGCUACAUAGAAUUAGAUCGGUUAUCUAACUUUACAUGUAACCAAAUC